rnacentral:rRNA from 1 species
UACGGAGGGUGCAAGCGUUAUCCGGAUUCACUGGGUUUAAAGGGUGCGUAGGCGGGCAGUUAAGUCAGUGGUGAAAUCUCCGGGCUCAACCCGGAAACUGCCGUUGAUACUAUCUGUCUUGAAUGUUGUGGAGGUGAGCGGAAUAUGUCAUGUAGCGGUGAAAUGCUUAGAUAUGACAUAGAACACCGAUUGCGAAGGCAGCUCACUACACAGAAAUUGACGCUGAGGCACGAAAG